rnacentral:piRNA from 1 species
UAAAUGAGUCUUCACCUACAUGCAAGU